UACGUAGGGUGCAAGCGUUGUCCGGAAUUAUUGGGCGUAAAGAGCUCGUAGGCGGUUCGUCGCGUCGGCUGUGAAAUCCCGGAGCUCAACUCCGGGUCUGCAGUCGAUACGGGCGGACUUGAGUACUGCAGGGGAGACUGGAAUUCCUGGUGUAGCGGUGAAAUGCGCAGAUAUCAGGAGGAACACCGGUGGCGAAGGCGGGUCUCUGGGCCGAUACUGACGCUGAGGAGCGAAAGCGUGGGGAGCGAACAGG
rnacentral:rRNA from 1 species